rnacentral:rRNA from 1 species
GCUCAACCGAGGAAGUGCUUCGAAAACUGGUAAACUUGAGUGCAGAAGAGGAAAGUGGAACUCCAUGUGUAGCGGUGGAAUGCGUAGAUAAAUGGAAGAACACCAGUGGCGAAGGCGGCUGUCUGGUCUGUAACUGACGCUGAGGCUCGAAAGUAUGGGUAGCAAACAGGAUUAGAUACCCUGGUAGUCCAUACCGUAAACGAUGAAUGCUAAGUGUUGGAGGGUUUCCGCCCUUCAGUGCUGCAGCUAACGCAUUAAGCAUUCCGCCUGGGGAGUACGGCCGCAAGGCUGAAACUCAAAGGAAUUGACGGGGGCCCGCACAAGCGGUGGAGCAUGUGGUUUAAUUCGAAGCUACGCGAAGAACCUUACCAGGUCUUGACAUACUAUGCAAAUCUAAGAGAUUAGACGUUCCCUUCGGGGACAUGGAUACAGGUGGUGCAUGGUUGUCGUCAGCUCGUGUCGUGAGAUGUUGGGUUAAGUCCCGCAACGAGCGCAACCCUUAUUAUCAGUUGCCAGCAUUAAGUUGGGCACUCUGGUGAGACUGCCGGUGACAAACCGGAGGAAGGUGGGGAUGACGUCAAAUCAUCAUGCCCCUUAUGACCUGGGCUACACACGUGCUACAAUGGAUGGUACAACG